rnacentral:rRNA from 1 species
GUACACGCUGUGACUAGCAUAUCAAUAAGCGGAGGAAAAGAAACUAACAAGGAUUCCCCUAGUAACGGCGAGUGAAGCGGGAAGAGCUCAAAUUUGAAAUCUUAAAGGGUUUCCCUUUACGAAUUGUAGUUUAAAGAAGUGUUUUCUGUUGAGGUUUUGGUAAAAGUUCUUCGGAAUAGGACAUCAUAGAGGGUGAGAAUCCCGUAUUUGACCUUUACUUUCAACUUUGUGAUACACUUUCAAAGAGUCGGAUUGUUUGGGAAUGCAGUCCAAAAUGGGUGGUAAAUUUCAUCUAAAGCUAAAUAUUGGCGAGAGACCGAUAGCGAACAAGUACCGUGAGGGAAAGAUGAAAAGAACUUUGAAAAGAGAGUUAAACAGUACGUGAAAUUGUCAAAAGGGAAGCGUUUGACACCAGUGUUGUUUUUCUGAAAAUCAAUUAAAGAACUGUUUAUGCUAAGUUGUUUAGACUUUAUCAGCUAUCUGUUUAGUUUUGAGCUUUUCUUUAAUGCACUUUUCAGUUAACAAGUCAACAUCAAUUUCUUUUGCUGUAAAAAAGCUUGAGGAAGGUGGCUUGAGAUUCGUCUUAAGUGUUUAUAGCCUCUUGCCUAUGCAGUCGGAGAGAUUGAGGUCUGCAGCGUAGAUCCUUCGGGGCUAAAUGCAUUUGUGCUAAGUUAUAGCAUUUUAUAGACAACUUGUUGACUAUGAUUUGUCUUGUAGCUUACUCGCUUAUGUUAUUUUACCUACGCUUAGGAUGUUGACAGCAGUAUAGACUGU